rnacentral:rRNA from 1 species
AAUAUGGGACAAUGGGCGAAAGCCUGAUCCAGCAUUGCCGCGUGUGUGAAGAAGGUCUUCGGAAUGUAAAGUAAUUUAAGUUGGGAGGAAGGGCAGUAAGGUAAUAGCUUGCUGUUUUGACGUUACCGACAGAAUAAGAACCGGCUAACACCGACCGAGAAGCCGCGGUAAUACGAAGGGUGCAAGCGGUAAUCGGAAUUACGGGGCGUAACGCGCGCGUAGGUGGUUUGUUAAGUUGGAAGUGAAAGCCCCGGGCUCAACCUGGGAACUGCUUUCAAAACUGGCAAGCUAGAGUAUGGCAGAGGGUGGUGGAAUUUCCUGUGUAGCGGUGAAAUGCGUAGAUAUAGGAAGGAACACCAGUGGCGAAGGCGACCACCUGGGCUAAUACUGACACUGAGGUGCGAAAGCGUGGGGAGCAAAC